UGUUUUCAAAUUCCAUGUGACUUAGGGAAGGUGAUUUGGACAUUACAGUAGAUAUCUUUCUUUCUUUCCUUUUUUCAAUUAAAGAAAAAGCCUUAUUUCCCUCCCGAACCAGUCUCUGGUGGAUACAUUAUCAUGAUAGCACGAACGGUAAAUUUGCCUCUUUGCCGCGUGAUAAAGUCCACAGUGACGUGACCGCGAGAAUAGUAACUCGGAAAAAAAUUGCAAGUGUCCCUUCUACACUUCCGUAAGUCGCCUAUACUUUAUCGGAAUAUUAUGAUUCUGUGCAAAAUGUCUGCCGUGGCAGGUUUGGUUCGUUUUUCUCUAUCGACAUGGUCGAUGUCAUCUUGAUUAACCACUAGCCUCAACUGUAGUUAGCCUUAACUUUCACGGACACUUAACUGAGAGCUGUCAUCACCAUCCGACCAUGGACCAGCAAAAUUUGUCUGCGAUUUUGAUGUUGCUCUUUCUACAUCAAGCCUACUGUUCAGAAGUUAAAAGCCUCACAAGUGAUGCCUCAGUAUUUCCACAAGUCCUCGGUCAUGUCAUAAAGCCCCGUUCCACAAGCAGCAAGUUCAUUCCGGGCCCAGAUGGAGAACGAUGUAUACUCGACGCCAAUCACAUUCAGGACAGACGAUACGAGAAAGAGGAUGAUCGAGGAGGGUGCUACUGUGAAUUGUGUGAUUUUGGAAAAUAUGCCAAACAGCUGUGUCAGUGCGGUGGUCCAAAUGGAACUCAAGCAAACGUGACAGAUUGCAAAUUUGUAAAAGAGGGACUGGAGUACAUGGACAAAGCAAAUAAAUGCAGCCAACCAUACAAUUGCUCUUUGAGCUGUGGUAAUCACCAAUUUAAGGUGGCUAAUUGUACAGCAAUGUCCGACAUUAAAUGCGAGUGUGAAGAGGGUUGGUUCAAUCCUCAUCCAUCAAAGGGAGAAACCAUUCCGAGGGAGUGUCGAGUUAAGCCACGCUGCCCUGCUGGCCAAGGUCUAGAAUCCCACACCAUUGGUUAGUAAGCAUCAACCGGAGAGGUCAGCUUCACCUGUCAGCCAUGCAGGGAUGGUUACUUUCAAGGAUUUGAUAACAGCAUCUCCAGCUGCCAGCCACACAGAGCGUGCACUGUCCAGGCUGGAAAUUCAAUUAAUGAUAACAUCUGCCUCAAUGAUGACUUGCCGAUGAACCUGUCAUCAAAUGUGCCUGGGGAGCCCUCCACCCUAGAACCAAAAGAACUUGAAUCUACCACAGGAACGACACCCACGCAGACCCAACCUUCUGGGGAACCGAGGAGCACUCAAGAGAAUCUUCCAGACGACGAAGUGCAACCAGGUGUCUGGUACCCAGCAGGCUGCAUCAUUGCAUUGGCUUGUACUUCAUGUGUGAUUCUUGUCGUCCUUGUCAGCUAUUGUGUGUACAUUAAAUGUAAGAAAAAGGAGACUUACAUGGACUUGCCUACAGUUGACUAUAAUGCUAGGCAGCAACAAGUCCAACUACAUGUACCAACAGGUACUUGAUUGGGCAGCUCUUGAGACUCAGUCAGUAUUUUGUGCCUCAACUUUGUAUCUUUGGAAUAUCAUCAUUGGCCUUCUCCUUGAAAAAAGGAUUGUCACUUUUUAUUCUGCAAUUAUUUCAUCACUAAAUGUAUUCAGUAACAUCAUGGGACCAUUCACUUUUGAAGAACAAACUGGUCAUGUAUACAUGUGUAUGUUUUCUUUGAGAGUGGACAUAAGGUCCUACUCUGCCUAAGACAUAUCUAGCAAACGCAUUGCAAAACGUAACCCUGCUUAUCCCAACAGUGCCGGACAGCCAAAGGUUUUUAUGUUAGAUGUUGUUUGUCUGACCAUGGAGGAACGAUGGUCCGAUCAUUGAAUGAAAGAUUGUUGGGAGUUUUAAGAAAUAAGUGAAGCAGUACUACAGAUAAUUCUUAUCAACCUCAAGAAAGUCUAAAUAAACAUUUAACUGUUUAUUAUGACAUGUAUGGUUGAUACAGAAUUGUGUAUAUACUUUGUAUAUAUUUUUAUUACUGCUAUAAUGAGUCUAUUUUGUAUUUUUUACACUUGCAAUAACGGGGAAUUAGUAACUGUCUUUUUUCAUACCUUGACAUUGUGAAUUAGUAAAUCUUGUCUUCAUUUUUGCGAACAUAAAGCUUUAGGUUGCCUUUAAAACAACACAUAAAUAUCUCAUCCUGUGAAAAAAAAAUAUGAAUAGAUGGUUUACUCUUUCCAAGUAUUAGGAAAACGCCAAAAUUGACCUUCACUUCAAUAUUUGACUUUGAACUCUUAUAGGAAAGAGCAGAAUGUGACUUAACACUCUUUGUCAUGCCGGGUCACAUUUAUGAACCAAAUUUUAUAUUUCAGAAUAAAUAUUGAAUUUAAACUGAAGCAUACUAGUACUUCAUGUCACCUUAAAAAAAUUCAUGGACUCUGUUGCUAAGCAACCAUUUUUUUUAAGAAAAUAUCAAAUUAAUUUCAUUAGAAAGCUGCAACUCAGCUGAACCUUCCCUGGGCUUGUAGUUAAACUCAGUUGUGUUAAGUAGAAAUAAGAGGAUGUAAAUUACGCUUUAAAAGUACUUAUCAGAGUCUGUGUGUGGUUUUAUAUUUUGUUGCAGAUGAUUUUGGAUUUGCUUGGGCCGUCUAAACAUAAAUAAAUGUUUUCUGUGAGAAUAA
rnacentral:misc_RNA from 1 species